UACGUAGGUGGCAAGCGUUGUCCGGAAUCACUGGGCGUAAAGGGCGCGUAGGCGGGUUUUUAAGUCAGAUGUGAAAAAUGCGGGCUCAACCCGGAUUGUGCAUCUGAUACUGGGAAUCUUGAGUGCAGGAGAGGACAGUGGAAUUCCUAGUGUAGCGGUGAAAUGCGUAGAUAUUAGGAGGAACACCAGUGGCGAAGGCGGCUGUCUGGACUGUAACUGACGCUGAGGCGCGAAAGCGUGGGGAGCAAACAGG
rnacentral:rRNA from 1 species